rnacentral:rRNA from 1 species
GACGAACGCUGGCGGCGUGCUUAACACAUGCAAGUCGAACGGAAAGGCCCUUCGGGGUACUCGAGUGGCGAACGGGUGAGUAACACGUGGGUGAUCUGCCCUGCACUUUGGGAUAAGCCUGGGAAACUGGGUCUCAUACCGAAUAGGACCACGCUCUUCAUGGGGUGUGGUGAAAAGCUUUUGCGGUGUGGGAUGGGCCCGCGGCCUGUCAGCUUGUUGGUGGGGUAAUGGCCUACCAAGGCGACGACGGGUAGCCGGCCGGAGAGGGUGACCGGCCACACUGGGACUGAGAUACGGCCCAGACUCCUACGGGAGGCAGCAGUGGGGAAUAUUGCACGAUGGGCGCAAGCCUGAUGCAGCGACGCCGCGUGAGGGAUGACGGCCUUCGGGUUGUAAACCUCUUUCAGUACCGACGAAGCGCAAGUGACGGUAGGUACAGAAGAAGGACCGGCCAACUACGUGCCAGCAGCCGCCGUAAGAC